rnacentral:sRNA from 1 species
AAUUGCUUCCGGGGAGUUGCGAGGGAGCGAGGGGGAAUAAAGGACCCGCGAGGAGGGGCCCGCGGAUGGCGCGUCCCUGAGGGUCGUGGCGAGUUCGCGGAGCGUGGGAAGGAGCGGACCCUGCUCUCCCCGGGCUGCGGGCCAUGGCCACGGCGGAGCGGAGAGCCCUCGGCAUCGGCUUCCAGUGGCUCUCUUUGGCCACUCUGGUGCUCAUCUGCGCCGGGCAAGGGGGACGCAGGGAAGAUGGGGGUCCAGCCUGCUACGGCGGAUUUGACCUGUACUUCAUUUUGGACAAAUCAGGAAGUGUGCUGCACCACUGGAAUGAAAUCUAUUACUUUGUGGAACAGUUGGCUCAUAAAUUCAUCAGCCCACAGUUGAGAAUGUCCUUUAUUGUCUUCUCCACCCGAGGAACAACCUUAAUGAAACUGACAGAAGACAGAGAGCAAAUCCGUCAAGGCCUAGAAGAACUCCAGAAAGUUCUGCCAGGAGGAGACACUUACAUGCAUGAAGGAUUUGAAAGGGCCAGUGAGCAGAUUUAUUAUGAAAACAGACAAGGGUACAGGACAGCCAGCGUCAUCAUUGCUUUGACUGAUGGAGAACUCCAUGAAGAUCUCUUUUUCUAUUCAGAGAGGGAGGCUAAUAGGUCUCGAGAUCUUGGUGCAAUUGUUUACUGUGUUGGUGUGAAAGAUUUCAAUGAGACACAGCUGGCCCGGAUUGCGGACAGUAAGGAUCAUGUAUUUCCUGUGAAUGACGGCUUUCAGGCUCUGCAAGGCAUCAUCCACUCAAUUUUGAAGAAGUCCUGCAUCGAAAUUCUAGCAGCUGAACCAUCCACCAUAUGUGCAGGAGAGUCAUUUCAAGUUGUCGUGAGAGGAAACGGCUUCCGACACGCCCGCAACGUGGACAGGGUCCUCUGCAGCUUCAAGAUCAAUGACUCGGUCACACUCAGUAAGUCCUUGCAGAGGGUUUCUUCAACAACUGGCUUCAGGGAAGGGAAUUCCCACCCUUGUCUUCCAGCAAGGCCACACACAUGAAACCAGCAGAAAAGUCUUAUUUCCUGGAAAGACCCCCAGCAAGGGCAUAGUGAGCCCUUACAGUGGUUCCAGUCAGAAAAGGCACCACUUAGGUGGGCACAGCCCCAUGGGUUUCCAGCUUUGUAAGCAGAGCAAGGCUGGACUUGAGUCCCCGUCCUCCACAAAACACAGAGCCACAAGCCCCAGCCCUGCAGCAGCCCUCAGGAAGCAGUGGGGCACUGGUUUCCUUGUCCCCUGCCAUCUACCAAGUGGCUCACUCUCAGGUGGGAGUGCUGGUGAUGGUUAAUUAGGGCUGGGGAAACGUGAGCCUCUUUAACAAAGUAUUGGGACUCUUAAGGGUAAGUGUGAAAAAGGAAUGGUCUAAAUGCAUUAAUCUUGAAUAAACCGAAAACCAAACC